UUGUUCUUUCAAUUCCUAUAAAGUAACACUAGUUUGGAAUACGUCCCUAAUCUUUGAGGAUUGCUUUCAGAGUAUUGACUAAAUAUUACUCUACAAAAGUACAUAGUCCAACUAGAAGUGCAGAUAGAUAGAUAGAUGGAUAGAUGCCGGCGAGGAGCCUCUCUUCACGAAAGCGUUGCACCCAGCCCACUGGAUCCCGAGCAACAAGACUCCGUGUUUCAAAAUCCGUGCAGAUGGAUCCAACACCGCACAACACAUCGGUGGCGAUCGGAACGAAGUCCCACAUUUAAGGAUUGCAUCCUUGGAUCGGAGACUGUCGGCUUCAAUUAUUUUGGUUGGACAGUGAGUUUUCGACGAUAACGGCAGGUACACUCUGCCCGAAGAGGUGGGCCUUUUUGCAGGAAAAUCUUCGGUGAACCAGUCACUUUCGGUGUGCAUCAGAAGCCUGCAGAGAUUCGAACCAUUCUCGCUAAUUGAUCGCUCCGGAAGGUCCGCUUUAAGCCUUUUCCUUACAAACCGGCCUACUUGCAAGAUGGGUUCUGUUCUUAGAUUCCUAUCCGCGUUGCUCUUUCUGAAGUUCUAUGAAGGGGGCCGUUCACACUUACAGAGAUGCUAUCCGGCGUCACAGAGAUAAGGUUCGGAGGGCUGCAGCGCUUUUGAAAUUGAAUGUCAGUUUCGGUGGACACUUCCGAUAUCGGUUGUGAGCUUCAAGAGGAGAAAGAUGCCUCGGGUGAGUAGAUCAUGAGACAGUUGAGUGCCCUUGAUUGUUGAAGCGAUCUCAAGACACAGUUGAGUGGUCUCCAAAAUUGAUGCUUGCAACACAGCCGGAGCCCCAUUCCAAGAAUAGCAGACAUUGUCUUCUGUAAAGGAAGAACCUACUUUAACCAAGUACAUCAUUUUACAAGAGUUUUUGUUUACUCUUAAUAAGAGAUUGUAAAGGUUGUGACAUAGGCUUCGGCCCAUUCGAUCA